rfam:Capsicum annuum cultivar Zunla-1 chromosome 7, whole genome shotgun sequence
AAGGCAGAGAUUGUGUGUAUCGGCUUUGUGCUAUUACUAAUGCACUUUGCUCGAAAGUGUUCUCUGCUAAAUUAAUAUUUAUUGAGGAAGAUGGGCAGUUGUGUUUCGUCUAUUUCGCUGGAAAUUUUCAACAAUCAUUUUCCCCACAUCU